AGAGUUUGAUCCUGGCUCAGAACAAACGCUGGCGGCGUGCCUAACACAUGCAAGUCGUACGAGAAAGUCCGCUUCGGUGGAUGAGUAAAGUGGCGCACGGGUGAGUAGCGCGUGGAUAAUCUACCCUUUAGUCUGGAAUAACUUAUCGAAAGGUGAACUAAUACCGGAUAAUAUCCCGAUUUCUUCGGCGAUCGGGAUCAAAGAAGGCCUCUGCUUGCAAGCUUUCACUGAAGGAUGAGUCCGCGUACCAUUAGCUAGUUGGCAGGGUAAUGGCCUACCAAGGUUAUGAUGGUUAGCUGGUCUGAGAGGAUGAUCAGCCACACUGGAACUGAAACACGGUCCAGACUCCUACGGGAGGCAGCAGUGAGGAAUAUUGCGCAAUGGGGGCAACCCUGACGCAGCAACGCCGCGUGAGUGAGGAAGGUUUUCGGAUUGUAAAGCUCUGUCGAGCGGAAAGAAGUGCAUGGUGGUUAAUAUCCAUCAUGCUUGACGGUACCGCUAAAGGAAGCACCGGCUAACUCCGUGCCAGCAGCCGCGGUAAUAC
rnacentral:rRNA from 1 species